rnacentral:rRNA from 1 species
AUUGAACGCUGGCGGCAGGCCUAACACAUGCAAGUCGAGCGAGCGGCGGACGGGUGAGUAAUGUAUGAGGAUCUGCCCGAGAGAGGGGGAUAACUACUGGGAACGGUGGCUAAUACCGCAUACUCUAGGAUGACACCAUAUGGGAUUAUCUAGUAGGUGGGGUAAAGGCCCACAUAGGCGACGAUCUCUAGCUGGGCUGAGAGGAUGAUCAGCCACACUGGGACUGAGACACGUCCCAGACUCCUACGGGAGGCAGCAGUGGGGAAUAUUGCACAAUGGGCCCAAGUCUGAUGCAGCCAUGCCGCGUGUAUGAAGAAGGCCUUAGGGUUGUAAAGUACUUUCAGCGGGGAGGCGUUACCCGCAGAAGAAGCACCGGCUAACUCCGUGCCAGCAGCCGCGGUAAUUC